AACGCGAAGAACCUUACCUACUCUUGACAUCCAGAGAACUUGGCAGAGAUGCCUUGGUGCCUUCGGGAACUCUGAGACAGGUGCUGCAUGGCUGUCGUCAGCUCGUGUUGUGAAAUGUUGGGUUAAGUCCCGCAACGAGCGCAACCCUUAUCCUUUGUUGCCAGCGCGUGAUGGCGGGAACUCAAAGGAGACUGCCGGUGAUAAACCGGAGGAAGGUGGGGAUGACGUCAAGUCAUCAUGGCCCUUACGAGUAGGGCUACACACGUGCUACAAUGGCGUAUACAAAGGGAAGCGACCCUGCGAAGGCAAGCGGAACUCAUAAAGUACGUCGUAGUCCGGAUUGGAGUCUGCAACUCGACUCCAUGAAGUCGGAAUCGCUAGUAAUCGUAGAUCAGAAUGCUACGGUGAAUACGUUCCCGGGCCUUGUACACACCG
rnacentral:rRNA from 1 species